rnacentral:rRNA from 1 species
AGGGUUUGAUCAUGGCUCAGAACGUACGCUGGCGGCACGCCUAACACAUGCAAGUCGAACGAAGUAGCAAUACUUAGUGGCAGACGGGUGAGUAACAUGUGGGUAUCUGCCCUUUGGCCUGGAAUAACACGAGGAAACUUGUGCUAAUACCGGAUAAGUCUUUACGGAGAAAGCUUUAUGCACCAUUGGAUGAGCCCGCACUUGAUUAGUUUGUUGGUGGGGUAAUGGCCUACCAAGACUGUGAUCAAUAGCUGAUUUGAGAGGAUGAUCAGCCACAUUGGGACUGAGACACGGCCCAAACUCCUACGGGAGGCAGCAGUGGGGAAUCUUGCACAAUGGAGGAAACUCUGAUGCAGCGAUGCCGCGUGAGUGAAGAAGGCCCUUGGGUUGUAAAGCUCUUUCGUCGGGGAAGAAAAUGACUGUACCCGAAUAAGAAGGUCCGGCUAACUUCGUGCCAGCAGCCGCGGUAAUACGAAGGGACCUAGCGUAGUUCGGAAUUACUGGGCUUAAAGAGUUCGUAGGUGGUUGAAAAAGUUAGUGGUGAAAUCCCAGAGCUUAACUCUGGAACUGCCAUUAAAACUUUUCAGCUAGAGUAUGAUAGAGGAAAGCAGAAUUUCUAGUGUAGAGGUGAAAUUCGUAGAUAUUAGAAAGAAUACCAAUUGCGAAGGCAGCUUUCUGGAUCAUUACUGACACUGAGGAACGAAAGCAUGGGUAGCGAAGAGGAUUAGAUACCCUCGUAGUCCAUGCCGUAAACGAUGUGUGUUAGACGUUGGAAAUUUAUUUUCAGUGUCGCAGCGAAAGCGAUAAACACACCGCCUGGGGAGUACGACCGCAAGGUUAAAACUCAAAUGAAUUGACGGGGACCCGCACAAGUAGUGGAGCAUGUGGUUUAAUUCGAAGAUACGCGCAGAACCUUACCAACACUUGACAUGUUCGUCGCGACUCUAAGAGAUUAGAGUUUUCGGUUCGGCCGGACGAAACACAGGUGCUGCAUGGCUGUCGUCAGCUCGUGUCGUGAGAUGUUGGGUUAAGUCCCGCAACGAGCGCAACCCUCACUUUUAGUUGCCAUCAUUAAGUUGGGCACUCUGAAAGAACUGCCAGUGAUAAGCUGGAGGAAGGUGGGGAUGACGUCAAGUCCUCAUGGCCCUUACGUGUUGGGCUACACACGUGCUACAAUGGUAUCUACAACAGGAAGCAAGACUGCGAGGUCAAGCAAAUCCUUAAAAGAUACCUCAGUUCGGAUUGCACUCUGCAACUCGAGUGCAUGAAGCUGGAAUUACUAGUAAUCGUGGAUCAGCGUGCCACGGUGAAUGCGUUCCCGGGUCUUGUACACACCGCCCGUCACACCAUGGGAGUUGGUUCUACCUUAAGGCAAGGUUUCAAACCCUUGACCACGGUAUAGUCAGCGACUGGGGUGAAGUCAUAACAAGGUAACCGUA